ensembl:lncRNA
UUCAUCUUUUCUAGAGCAGAUUGCCAUGGCGGUGAGAUGGAGGAACUGUGUGUGUGUUUGACCAGCGUACGUAACAUUUUAAAGAAGGGGACACGGGAGAGCAACAAACAGGAUUCCCCCAUCAAACUCCCCCCUUUCCUCACCCUCUACGGACAAUUUCAUCACUUCUCUCGUUUUGUUUUUGUUUUUGUUUUAUUUUCCUCUUUCAUUUUGAUAUCUCUUCAGGAUUCUGUGUAACACUCAGCGGCCACAUCAGGCCAUCAGGGAAUAUUGUACAACCACAAUAAUAAUAAUAACAGAAAAAAAGGUUUAAGUAGAACAUAUAUGUUUAUAUCUGCUGUAAGGUUGGGCCUGCCGAGCCUUAAGCUGACUCCACUGCAACCUCACAGGUGCAACAUUGACCUCUGCUGCCUCGGACUCUGCUCCCAACAGAAACCAGGCGUUCUCCUCCCUCUCGUCCACAUCUUUCAGAAGCACACUACUCAGUUUUUGGAAGAUUCUCCUUGGAGUUUUUUCUCCCUAACCCUCUCUUCACCCACCACAUCAAUGCCAACAGUUAAGUCUCCCCCCCCCCACUGUAUUUCAGAUAUGUAUUAAACUCAUUUUAUUUGUUUUAUUUUUUGUUUGUUUUUUUGGGUUUAUUGUGUGUUUUUUUCAAAGAGGAAAAUCAGAUGGUUGCCACAUGUCUGCCCCUCCUGCUAUUAUUGUAAGUCCUAGAGAACAGACAGGAUGCCAUUUCACCACUAGUGCCACUUUUUCGGCGCUUCUGUUUUGCCUCAGCGUUUUGGGUGCAAUACGAAAUCGCAGGGCAGAGGUGGAGGUGUAUCGCCUCUGAGCGUCUGUGAGUUUAUCCCGAGUGAAACAAUUCUCCAUUGUUAGUUCCUAGCACUAGUGUGGUAUGCUAGUAACCAAACAAUUUGUAUGGUUUUGAUUUGGUUUUGAUUUUUUUUUCUUUGUUUUUUGGGGGUUUUGUUUUACUCUUACAAAGACAUUUUCAAAAAUAAAUAUUUUGUAUUUUAAGGAUUUUGUCUUGUCUCUUGCAAAAAAACAAAACAAAAAGAAAUGCUGGUGGUAAUUUGAGCUGGUAGGAGAAUUGUGGUUUAAAAGAAAUGGAUUUAAAGAUGGUAGGAGGUGUCGGCAGUCUUCUUCAAAUUAAAAUCAGCCAACAGAAAUACAGACAUGACAACAACAAAAGUCACCCUGGAGUCUCCUCUUCCUGCUGCUGCUAUAAUCUGUCACUAUUUUUCAGUAAUCUCACAUCAAAGGGCAUUAAAUCGGUUCCACUGACAGCUUCGAUUGUCUUUGAUUUUUUUCAGUUUAAUCUUUACUGAGCUAACAUGGACGCACACUUUUUUCUGGCAAAGCUGAGUUUCAUCACGGGAGAAACGUUUGUGGACCGUUGCAUCAACACUUCACGCUGCAGAUUUCUACUUCUUUUCUUCGAGAAAAAUGAGAAGCACAAUCAUAAAGAGUCUUUUUACAUUUCAUGUUCUGUAUUAUUUCUUCAGCGCAACAGGUUUUCAUCAUGACCUCUUGUGACUUUCAAAAUAAAGUUUUUACUUCACUUAUCUAAUUUAAACAUUUUGCUUUCUGAUUUUUAUUUGCGUGAGACGUUUUUAAAAUUGUAAUUUUAGGUCUCUGGCAUCCACAUGUUUGAUUUUUUUUUUUUUUUUUUUAAAUCUGUUUUCAUUACACAUUGAUUUUCAGUACACACAACAGUUCUAC